rnacentral:rRNA from 1 species
GAUGAACGCUAGCUACAGGCUUAACACAUGCAAGUCGCGGGGCAGCAUGGGGGUUGCUUGCAAUCCCCGAUGGCGACCGGCGCACGGGUGAGUAACGCGUAUCCAACCUGCCCUUCACCACGGGAUAACCCGGCGAAAGUCGGACUAAUACCGUAUGUUGUCCAUUGACGGCAUCCGAUUUGGACGAAAGGUUUGGCGGUGAAGGAUGGGGAUGCGUCCGAUUAGCUGGACGGCGGGGUGACGGCCCACCGGGGCGACGAUCGGUAGGGGUUCUGAGAGGAAGGGCCCCCACACGGGAACCGGGACACGGGCCAGACACCUACGGGAGGCAGCAGUGAGGAAGAUUGGUCAAUGGGCGUAAGCCUGAACCAGCCAAGUAGCGUGCAGGAUGACGGCCCUAUGGGUUGUAAACUGCUUUUAUGCGGGGAUAAAGUGGCCCACGUGUGGGUUUUUGCAGGUACCGCAUGAAUAAGGACCGGCUAAUUCCGUG